CUUUGAUUAGAACAUCAACAAUGAGUUUGUCAGACUUUUGACAAAUUCUCUCUCAUCUCAUCUCAACUAAACACCCCUUUCUCUUCUUCUUUUCUCAUUAACCUUCUCACCCGCCACUCCCUCCUUCUCUCUCUCUCUCUCUCUCUCUCUUCUUGUGAUAUACAUACAUACAUACAUAUGUAUAGUAUAAGAUAAGAUCAAGAUCAAGAGAAGAAAUGGGUAAUGGAUACAAUCAGCAGCAGCAGCAGCACCUACAUGAGAGAAGCACUUACUUACCAAUGUUGUGUUCAAGAUCAAGAUUCACCUCCAUCAAAGAUGUACACCUUCCCAAGUGCCAACAUCACUACCACCACCACCUCCACCUCUCUUCCUCCUCUAAAUCCAACGACCCUUCAUCCCCUAGAGUCAGUUGCAUGGGUCAAGUCAACCGAAACAACAGCCGAGUCAUCGGCCUCCCUACUUCAUACCGCUUCACCACCACCACCACCAACAUCAAAUAUCACAAGCUCAAAAGACUCUUUUCCGGAAGAAAUCUCACCACCACCACCACAACCACAGCCGCCGCCACUAGAGGAAGAGGCCACAUCAAGUCAAGUGAUGAUAAUGAUUAUGGACCGGCGCCGGUGAACAUCGCCGCCUUGGAUCCUCCGUUGCCGGUGGUGAAGAGGGUGCAACAGCAGGCGGUGGACGGCGGAGAUGGGGUGAAUCUGUGGAAGAGAAGGUCUGGUGGGGCUGCAUUGAAGAAUUUACAGCUUCAACAAAUUCAUAUACCCAAUAACAACAACAACAACAACGACGACAACCAUUAUUUGCAACCAACAACUGUGUGAUAUAUUGUUUAUUUAUUUAUUGAUGUGUGAUCUGAUCUGAUCUGAUGGGAUGGGAUUGGGAGUGAGGCUCCAAUUUGAGGGGUCAAAGGGACUAAAGGUUUCAAUGACUAGCGAACGUUCUGGUAAAAGCUCCGUGGGACAACAGAAGGAAUGAUAUUUGGCUUGUCAGAUGGGACUUCUCACUUGCUAGUAAUUUGCAUUUGGAAGUUUUUUAUUUUUUUAGUUUAAGGCUAUUUGGAAGUCAUUCAAUUGUUCUGAAAAGGAAUUUUUUCUUUCCAGAUGGCUACAUG